AAUGGAUCACUGAUGUUAGUAAAAAACUGCGUUAUCUUUCUGCAAUUUCCGUAAAGGGAUUGAAGAUAAUUAUAAUUUACUGAGAUCCUCU